AUUGAACGCUGGCGGCAGGCCUAACACAUGCAAGUCGAGCGCGCGGCGGACGGGUGAGUAAUGUCUGGGAAACUGUCUGAUGGAGGGGGAUAACUACUGGAAACGGUAGCGAAUACCGCAUACACUCAGAUGUGCCCAGAUGGGAUUAGCUAGUUGGUGGGGUAAAGGCCUACAAAGGCGACGAUCUGUAGCUGGUCUGAGAGGAUGAUCCGCCACACUGGGACUGGGACACGGCCCAGACUCCUACGGGAGGCAGCAGUGGGGAAUAUUGGGCAAUGGGGGGAACCCUGAUCCAGCCAUGCCGCGUGUGUGAAGAAGGCCUUAUGGUUGUAAAGCACUUUAAGCGAGGAGGCGGUACUCGCAGAAUAAGCACCGGCUAACUCUGUGCCAGCAGCCGCGGUAAUAC
rnacentral:rRNA from 1 species